rnacentral:lncRNA from 1 species
UGUCAAAAGCAGGAAACUUCUCUCGGUUCACUUCUGAUCUUCAAACAGGAACUUUAGAUUGCAGUGGGUACUUCACAGAACAAAAGGGUCAGAGGCUAAGAAUUUUAUCUUCAAGAGAAGUAGAUGAAGUGGCACAUUUAUGCACCAAGAAUAAAUUCCUUCUGUAAUGGACAAUUUUCAAAAUCAGGCAGAUCGAAGCCAUUGGGAUAGAGAAAUCUGAAAGUAGCCUCACUUCUUCCUAUUGAGCUUAAGAGAGCAUUCGAUGCUCCCUGAUGAGGUGAGAUUGGAAUCUCUUUCCACUUCCCAGGAUUCUUACAGUACCUGUGUACGAGUCAGUUCUAGAAAAGAACAAACAAAACAAUCACCUACUUACCUUGGAAGGUAUCCAAAUAGGAAGUCAAUAAGGCAGUCUGCAUGAUUUGGGAAAUAUAAAGUCAUCCAAAUGAGCUCAGAAAGAACAAGCUUAAUCAGGAUGGAGAAUGACGUAUGUGAAAAGAAACUGGAAAUAGGAGUACAAAAUUGGUGAACUCAAGAGAAUUGUAGCAGCUGCCAUCAGCGACUUUCAUCUCCAUGGGACCUGCUAGGUAUUUGCAGGGCAAAACAAUUGUUCAACUUUAGUCAACUAUGUUGCUGGGGCUGAUGUCCAGGGAAGGAGGGUGUCUCAUCUUUCUCAGAGCAUCUCUCAGCAUCAUCACCAUCCAUCAAAAAAAGUACGGUGACUACAUAAAUGAGGGUAGCCAUUAGGAUGAACUAUUUCAGAGAGCAAUGCCUUGUGGAAAGAACUGUUUGCAUUAUACAUGGCCUUACACUCAGUUCUCUCCCCAGACCACAAAGGGAAGAUGGAUAUUCCUGGUCAGAUGAACAGUUUAUGAGGUUCUGUACUAUAAAGAGACAUCUUCAGGGCCUCAGCAGUGGGAACAUGCCCAACUUCCACAGAUAUAUAAAUCAGAUUUGAGAAGCAAACGACACAUUCUGGAUAAGUAAUGUGACAUCCAUCUGGGAGCACAGUGUUGAGGAUCAAGGAAACUUUUUAAGGCCCAGGUGGUAAUAACUGAAGAAGAGUGUGGACUCAAAGAAAAGGGAAUGACGCGACGAAAGAAGAGCAGCCUGUACGUUGGACAACAAGGAACUACUGAGGUUCAGGACAAGAUUUAAAUAGCUGGGCUACAUGCACUACACAAGAUUAUUUAUCAGGUGGGAGGCAGAAGAAAUAGACAAACUUGGUGAGAAAAGAUGUAACAAGAACCUUUUCUGCAUACCAUCAGCUGUAGUGCUCCAUGUCAAGAUCCCAGCAAUCCUACUCAAAAGAAGACAUUCACUUGCUAGCUCGAGUGUUAGCUCAAAAUCUGUGUAGUGUCCUGUGCUGGUAAACUUACCUCUGUCACAUGGGA